AAUACAGGAUAAUCAGUUCAAUUUGAAUUUCAGAGAAACAAUAAAUGUUGUUUUAGUGUAAGUAUGUCCCAUGCAGUAUUUGGGACAUACUUAUACUAAAACAUUGUUCACUGUUUCUCUGAAAUUCAAACUGAACUGGGUGUCCUGUUUUU
rnacentral:miRNA from 1 species